rnacentral:lncRNA from 1 species
AGCAAUCGAAAAAUAUCGCGAGACUAAAUCUUGAUGACUAGACCAAGCCAACGACCUUGUUUUAUGCAUUCAUUCUGUACUGUCGACCCCUCAAGUUCCAAUAUUGGAACUCCAUAAUUGCGAACAAUAGUGUACUCAGGACUGUGGAUUUUCAGAAAAUGGUUCCGUAGUCACCCCACUGUCGCAUGUGGCUCUCCUGAAUAGUUUUAUCAAUAGUGGGAAACUAUUGCUGUCACAGUGCACCGAUAGAGGACCAGCUCAGCUGCACCUUUUCUUUUAGGUGGUAUUCCGUUGCUGAGUUCUUGCACUCUUUUGCUCG